CCAAAGGCUCUUUUCAGAGCCACCUACAAUUUCACUUUGAAGAGCUGU
rfam:Camelus ferus unplaced genomic scaffold scaffold595, whole genome shotgun sequence.